rnacentral:rRNA from 1 species
AUUUAAACGCACUUAGGUAGUAAACCCCUAUGUUAAAACUUAUAUAUUUUGGCGGCAUUUCAUCUAUUUAGAGGAACCUGUCUUUUAAUCGAUACCCCACGAUAAUCUUCACUUCUCCAUUAAAACUUACAUACCGUCAUCUUCAAAUAAAUUUAAAAAUAAAAUCUCCAAAAUUAAUCUAAAAAGAUAGAUCAAGGCGUAGUCCAUAAAGAAGAUAAGAUGUGUUACCCUGAACACUAUUUAAGGAUUAAAAAUUAAAAUUCACAAAUAAAGAGGAUUUAAAAGUAAUUCAUUAAAUAUUAAUUAAUACUGAAACAGAUUAUUAAUGUGC